rnacentral:rRNA from 1 species
UGGGGAAUAUUGGACAAUGGGCGCAAGCCUGAUCCAGCCAUGCCGCGUGAGUGAUGAAGGCCCUAGGGUUGUAAAGCUCUUUCACCGGUGAAGAUAAUGACGGUAACCGGAGAAGAAGCCCCGGCUAACUUCGUGCCAGCAGCCGCGGUAAUACGAAGGGGGCUAGCGUUUUUCGGAUUUACUGGGCGUAAAGCGCACGUAGGCGGACUAUUAAGUCAGGGGUGAAAUCCCGGGGCUCAACCCCGGAACUGCCUUUGAUACUGGUAGUCUUGAGUUCGAGAGAAGUGAGUGGAAUUACGAGUGUAGAGGUGAAAAUCGUGAAGAUUCGGAGGAAGACCAGUGGCGAAGGGGGCUCACUGGCUCGAUACUGACGCUGAGGUGCGAAAGGGUGGGGAGCAAACAGG